CAGGAUUGUCUCUACAUGACGUGCUAAGAAGUAGAUUUUUAGGUCCAAGAUGGAGAAAGAAAGCUCCAGUUUGGUGAGGCAACAGAGCAGGGCCUCAACAUCAUGAAACCUUUCCUGGAGUGGCAUGACCAGCUGUGCCCGUGCCCUGGCUAGAGAAGUCAGGUGUUCCUCGUCCUCCU
rnacentral:lncRNA from 1 species